rnacentral:rRNA from 1 species
UACGUAGGGGGCAAGCGUUGUCCGGAAUUAUUGGGCGUAAAGAGCGUGUAGGCGGCCAGAUAAGUCCGCUGUGAAAUCUCGAGGCUCAACUUCGAGCUGUCGGUGGAAACUGUCUGGCUAGAGUCCGGAAGAGGAGAAUGGAAUUCCUGGUGUAGCGGUGAAAUGCGCAGAUAUCAGGAAGAACACCCGUGGCGAAGGCGGUUCUCUGGGCCUUACCUGACGCUCAGGCACGAAAGCUAGGGGAGCGAACAGG